AUACGGAGGGUGCAAGCGUUAAUCGGAAUUACUGGGCGUAAAGCGCACGCAGGCGGUUUGUUAAGUCAGAUGUGAAAUCCCCGGGCUCAACCUGGGAACUGCAUCUGAUACUGGCAAGCUUGAGUCUCGUAGAGGGGGGUAGAAUUCCAGGUGUAGCGGUGAAAUGCGUAGAGAUCUGGAGGAAUACCGGUGGCGAAGGCGGCCCCCUGGACGAAGACUGACGCUCAGGUGCGAAAGCGUGGGGAGCAAACAGGAGUAGAUACCCUGGUAGUCCACGCCGUAAACGAUGUCGACUUGGAGGUUGUGCCCUUGAGGCGUGGCUUCCGGAGCUAACGCGUUAAGUCGACCGCCUGGGGAGUACGGCCGCAAGGUUAAAACUCAAAUGAAUUGACGGGG
rnacentral:rRNA from 1 species